CAGAGGGUGCGAGCGUUAAUCGGAAUUACUGGGCGUAAAGCGUGCGUAGACGGUUAUUUAAGUCGGGUGUGAAAGCCCCGGGCUCUACCUGGGAAUUGCAUUCGAGACUGAAUAGCUAGGGUACGGUAGAGGGAAGUGGAAUUUCCGGUGUAGCGAUGAAAUGCGUAGAUAUCGGAAGGAACAUCAGUGGCGAAAGCGACUUCCUGGACCAGUACCGACGUUCAGGCACGAAAGCGUGAGGAGCAAACAGGAUUAGAUACCCUGGUAGUCCACGCCAUAAACGAUGAGGACUAGACGUUGGAGGGGUAAGCCUUUCAGUGUCGUAGCUAACGCGCUAAGUCCUCCGCCUGGGGAGUACGGCCGCAAGGUUG
rnacentral:rRNA from 1 species